GUGGGGAAUAUUGGACAAUGGGCGAAAGCCUGAUCCAGCCAUGCCGCGUGUGUGAAGAAGGUCUUCGGAUUGUAAAGCACUUUAAGUUGGGAGGAAGGGCAGUAAGUUAAUACCUUGCUGUUUUGACGUUACCAACAGAAUAAGCACCGGCUAACUUCGUGCCAGCAGCCGCGGUAAUACGAAGGGUGCAAGCGUUAAUCGGAAUUACUGGGCGUAAAGCGCGCGUAGGUGGUUCAGCAAGUUGAAGGUGAAAUCCCCGGGCUCAACCUGGGAACUGCCUCCAAAACUGCAUGACUAGAGUACGGUAGAGGGUAGUGGAAUAUCCUGUGUAGCGGUGAAAUGCGUAGAUAUAGGAAGGAACACCAGUGGCGAAGGCGACUACCUGGACUGAUACUGACACUGAGGUGCGAAAGCGUGGGGAGCAAACAGGAUUAGAAACCCGGGUAGUCC
rnacentral:rRNA from 1 species